rnacentral:rRNA from 1 species
AGGACGAACGCUGGCGGCGUGCUUAACACAUGCAAGUCGAGCGGUGAUCCUCCUUCGGGAGGUGAUCAGCGGCGAACGGGUGAGUAACACGUGGGCAACUUGCCCCUCACACUGGGAUAACCUCGGGAAACCGGGGCUAAUACCGGAUACGACCUCGAGCGGCAUCUCUUGAGGUGGAAAGCUCCGACGGUGAGGGAUGGGCCCGCGGCCUAUCAGCUUGUUGGUGGGGUAAUGGCCUACCAAGGCGACGACGGGUA